rfam:Dictyocaulus viviparus strain HannoverDv2000 D_viviparus-1.0_Cont33.34, whole genome shotgun sequence.
GCCUCGGUAGUGUAAUGGAUCAGCACGGAAGACCGGAUAUCUGUAGGUGCGAGUUCGAGUCCCGCCUGAGGUU